UUUGGCAAUGGUAGAACUCACACUGGUGAGGUAGAUGGAUCCGGUGGUUCUAGACUUGCCAACUA
rnacentral:pre_miRNA from 5 species